GAUGAACGCUGGCGGCGUGCCUAAUACACGCGAGUCGAGCGAACAGACGGGGAGCUUGCUCCUCUGACGUUAGCGGCGGACGGGUGAGUAACACGUGGAUAACCUACCUAUAAGACUGGGAUAACUUCGGGAAACCGGAGCUAAUACCGGAUAAUAUAUUGAACCGCAUGGUUCAAUAGUGAAAGACGGUUUUGCUGUCACUUAUAGAUGGAUCCGCGCCGCAUUAGCUAGUUGGUAAGGUAACGGCUUACCAAGGCAACGAUGCGUAGCCGACCUGAGAGGGUGAUCGGCCACACUGGAACUGAGACACGGUCCAGACUCCUACGGGAGGCAGCAGUAGGGAAUCUUCCGCAAUGGGCGAAAGCCUGACGGAGCAACGCCGCGUGAGUGAUGAAGGUCUUCGGAUCGUAAAACUCUGUUAUUAGGGAAGAACAAAUGUGUAAGUAACUAUGCACGUCUUGACGGUACCUAAUCAGAAAGCCACGGCUAACUACGUG
rnacentral:rRNA from 1 species